rnacentral:rRNA from 1 species
CCUACGGGGUGCUGCAGUGAGGAAUAGUGGUCAAUGGGCGCGAGCCUGAACCAGCCAAGUAGCGUGAAGGAUGACUGCCCUACGGGUUGUAAACUUCUUUUAUAAAGGAAUAAAGGGAGGCACGUGGGCCUGUUUGUAUGUACUUUAUGAAUAAGGAGCGGCUAACUCCGUGCCAGCAGCCGCGGUAAUACGGAGGAUCCGAGCGUUAUCCGGAUUUAUGGGGUUUAAAGGGAGCGUAGAUGGGUUGUUAAGUCAGUUGGGAAAGUUUGCGGCUCAACCGUAAAAUUGCAAUUGAUACUGGCCGCCUUGACUACAGUUGAGGUAGGCGGAAUUCGUGGUGUCGCGGU